rnacentral:rRNA from 1 species
UAUUGGACAAUGGGCGAAAGCCUGAUCCAGCAAUGCCGCGUGAGUGAUGAAGGCCUUAGGCUUGUAAAGCUCUUUUACCCGGGAUGAUAAUGACAGUACCGGGAGAAUAAGCUCCGGCUAACUCCGUGCCAGCAGCCGCGGUAAUACGGAGGGAGCUAGCGUUGUUCGGAAUUACUGAGCGUAAAGCGUACGUAGGCGGUUAUUCAAGUCAGAGGUGAAAGCCCGGGGCUCAACCCCGGAACUGCCUUUGAAACUAGAUAGCUAGAAUCUUGGAGAGGUCAGUGGAAUUCCGAGUGUAGAGGUGAAAUUCGUAGAUAUUCGGAAGAACACCAGGGCGAAGGCGACUACUGACAAGUAUUGACGCGAGGUACGAAA